GUGCUCGCUUCGGCAGCAUAUAUACUAAAAUUGGAACGGUACAGAGAAGAUUAGCAUGGCCCCUGGGCAAGGAUGACAUGCAAAUUCGUGAAGCGUUCCAUAUUUUU
ensembl:snRNA U6 U6 spliceosomal RNA